CGGGCCGUGGCGCAGCUUGGUAGCGCAUCUGCUUUGGGAGCAGAGGGUCGCAGGUUCGAAUCCUGUCGGCCCGACCA
rnacentral:tRNA from 1 species